rnacentral:lncRNA from 1 species
UUUUUUCUUUUAUUUUCUUUAAACAUAUUACAAAACCUAUCUUUUCACAAUUUUUUUCAAAAUUCUAUCUCAUAGAUUUUUUUUUAUGCACACAAAUGUGUUUUUCCAUGAACAAUCUAACCAAAUUUAGGCAAUUUUCAACGACACAUAGCUUGAAAAAUAGAACGGUGACCCCUACUUUUUAUUAUAUAUUUGAAAAGAGCAUAUUAAAAUCUUCAUUCUGGC